UACGAAGGGGGCUAGCGUUGUUCGGAAUUACUGGGCGUAAAGCGUGCGCAGGCGGCUUCUCAAGUCAGGGGUGAAAGCCCAGAGCUCAACUCUGGAAUUGCCAUUGAUACUGUAGGGCUUGAGUACAGAUGCCGUUGGCGGAAUAUGACAUGUAGUGGUGAAAUACAUAGAGAUGUCAUAGAACACCGAUUGCGAAGGCAGCUGACGAAACUGUAACUGACACUGAGGCUCGAAAGUGUGGGGAUCAAACAGG
rnacentral:rRNA from 1 species